rnacentral:rRNA from 1 species
GACGAACGCUGGCGGCGUGCUUAACACAUGCCAGUCGAACGGAAAGGCCCUGCUUGCAGGGUACUCGAGUGGCGAACGGGUGAGUAACACGUGGGUGAUCUGCCCUGCACUUCGGGAUAAGCCUGGGAAACUGGGUCUAAUACCGGAUAGGAGCCAUUUUUAGUGUGAUGGUUGGAAAGUUUUUUCGGUGUAGGAUGAGCUCGCGGCCUAUCAGCUUGUUGGUGGGGUAAUGGCCUACCAAGGCGGCGACGGGUAGCCGGCCUGAGAGGGUGGACGGCCACAUUGGGACUGAGAUACGGCCCAGACUCCUACGGGAGGCAGCAGUGGGGAAUAUUGCACAAUGGGCGCAAGCCUGAUGCAGCGACGCCGCGUGGGGGAUGACGGCCUUCGGGUUGUAAACUCCUUUCGCUAGGGACGAAGCUUUUUGUAACGGUACCUAGAUAAGAAGCACCGGCUAACUACGUG